rnacentral:lncRNA from 1 species
GAUCGGUGCUCGCGUCACUUGGGCGGCCGAGAUCGGCGCGGAUGGGGCUGGGCGGUGAGUCGGGAGCUGUGGGGUCAGGCACUGGGUUGGGGAGAGGCUGUGGGACAGAGCCGCGGCUUUAACAGGGCUGGGAAAGCGGAGAACGACUGGGGAGCUACAGCGAUAGCGGAAUGGCGCUGAGGCGGUGUUCGUGCGUCUGGGAACACGGGCCGUGGAGCUGCGGGCACCGGAGGCAUCCGAAGGGAAGUUACACUCUGGCAGUGCUGUCUCCAAAGGCUCCUGAAUGGCUCCGGUUAAAAUCAGCUGAGUGGUGUCCUUCUCCUCCCAGGUGCCUGGGGGCUCCCUCUGGGGGGCUGGGCGUGGGGCUGAUCCCUUUGAGCUGCUGGGGUCUUGGAAGAGGUGGGUCAGGCCAUGACAGGGUGCAGUGCUACCUCACCUUGUUAAGCAGAAGGGCAAGGAUUCACAUCAUUCUUGCUCUCUCAAAAUGGGAUGUUGUUCCUGUAGGUUACCAGAGAAUUCCAUGCUUCUCCCCAUGUCCAGAACAAGCCAGAGCUGGAGGGAGGGUGUUUAGGGAGGGGUUGGUACCUGAUGCUGUGUCCCUGGUGUGUGUGCAGGACCCCAGGUA